UACAGAGGUCCCAAGCGUUGUUCGGAUUCACUGGGCGUAAAGGGUGCGUAGGCGGUUCGGUAAGUUUCGUGUGAAAUCUUCGGGCUCAACUCGAAGCCUGCACGAGAUACUGCCGGGCUUGAGUGUGGGAGAGGUGAGUGGAAUUUCCGGUGUAGCGGUGAAAUGCGUUGAGAUCGGAAGGAACGCCCGUGGCGAAAGCGAGGUCCUGGACGUCUACUGACGCUGAGACGCGAAAGCUAGGGGAGCGAAUGGG
rnacentral:rRNA from 1 species